rnacentral:rRNA from 1 species
AAUAGAUACCCAGGUAGUCCAUGCCGUAAACGAUGUCUACUAGCCGUUGGGGCCUUUGAGGCUUUAGUGGCGCAGCUAACGCGAUAAGUAGACCGCCUGGGGAGUACGGUCGCAAGACUAAAACUCAAAUGAAUUGACGGGGGCCCGCACAAGCGGUGGAGCAUGUGGUUUAAUUCGAUGCAACGCGAAGAACCUUACCUGGUCUUGACAUAGUAAGAACUUUCCAGAGAUGGAUUGGUGCCUUCGGGAACUUACAUACAGGUGCUGCAUGGCUGUCGUCAGCUCGUGUCGUGAGAUGUUGGGUUAAGUCCUGCAACGAGCGCAACCCUUUUCCUAUUUGCCAGCGGGUUAAGCCGGGAACUUUAAGGAUACUGCCAGUGACAAACUGGAGGAAGCGGGGACGACGUCAAGUCAUCAUGGCCCUUACGACCAGGGCUACGACACGUGCUACAAUGGUCGGUACAAAGGGUUGCUACCUAGCGAUAGGAUGCUAAUCUCAAAAAGCCGAUCGUAGUCCGGAUUGGAGU